rnacentral:rRNA from 1 species
AACGAACGCUGGCGGCAUGCCUAACACAUGCAAGUCGAACGAAACCUUCGGGUCUAGUCGCGCACGGGUGCGUCACGCGUGGGAACCUUCCCUUAGGUGCGGAAUAACUCCCCGAAAGGGGUGCUAAUACCGGAUAAUGUCUUCGGACCAAGGAUUUAUCGCGCUUGGAUGGGCUCGCGUUGGAUUAGCUAGUGGUUAGGGUAAAAGGCUCACAAGGCGACGAUGCAUAGCUGGUCUGAGAGGAUGAUUAGCCACUCUGGGACUGAGACACGGCCCAGACUCCUACGGGAGGGAGGAGAGGGGAAUAGUGGAACAUGGGCGAAAGCCUGAUGCAGCUAUGCCGGGUAAGUGAUGAAGGCCUUAGAGUAGUAAAGCUCUUUUAACCGGGAUGAUAAUGACGGUACCGAGAGAAUAAGCCCCGGCUAACUACGUG